GGCGGCACGUGACCGCCGGCUGCGACUGCGACUGCGCACGAACCCGCGCCGCCUCAUGGGAGUUGUAGUCCGGUUAAAGGGUAACGUCAGAGCAGACAACAAGGAACACAUUGAAGAACUUCAAUGGAGAAGACCAAAGGCAUUCAUCAUCAAGUAUGAGUUCUUCAAAGUGUUCCAUCCAGCAGGACCAAUGACCAUUCCAAAUGCCAUGCCACAAAGCAUCAAUUCACUAGAGUUAGCACCGUAAACAAGGAGAAGUUGACCACCUUGCUGCAUCUUGCAUGAAUCGCACCAUCACUCCUUGCCCAACCUCUUUGUGCAUGAACAUUAAGCAAUCUGCUGGAGGAACUUAGUAGGGAGAUGGGUAAUUCACGUUUCGGGUUGGGAUCCAAAACUUUGACCACCCAUUUCCCUUCCCAUAUGCUGCCUGACCUACUGAGGUCCUCCAGCAGAUCUUUGCUCGAGAUUCCAGCAUCUGCAGUCUCUUGUGUCUCUUAUUGUAUGCUGCUUCAAAAAGAAUUGAACUGGCCAGAAUAGUACUUUGUCUUUAACAAGCAUCAAAUCGUUUGUGUCCACUUUUGGCCCCAGAAAAACCCAUUUCGUGUUGAAAAAAGUAACACUCAGCCACUUUGAAUUUGCAUUGCUGUUCUGGAUGAUUAUAAUUUCAUCUCCCGUGCAUAUGUUUCAACGACAUGUCCCCUUUUCUAUGUUAAAUGUUCAAUGGCUGUACAAGUAUGUUUAACACUGCCAUUAGGGAUGGUCAGCACUACCAUCUUUCUUGAGGUUGCUAUCUGACAGGCUUUCUUAAAUGUUUUCUCUGACAUGCUGAGUAAUUUAUACUGAGUCUUCUCAUCAAUCAAUUCGCAAAGCAGACCAGCCAGCGUAGAUGUGGAGCUGAUGCAUCCCUCGCUGAGGUAUCCAGAAUCAAGGGUCAACAUCUCAAAAUAAAGAGUUGGCCUUUCAAGACGGGAUUCAGAAAAUAUAACUCACUCAGGAGGUAAUGAAUUUUUGGAAAUUUCCAACUAAGAGAGUUGUCAAGGCUCCGUCAAAAAGUAUUCGACAGAGAUUGAUAGGAUUACAAGGAAUCAAAGCAUUUAGUGUAAGAAAAAUGCAGCUAAUAAAAGGACAGCCAUGAUGAGAAUGUGCAAGGCAUGAUUAGUAAAGGGUCGUCUCACUUUUUUUCUCUGCGAUUUACCAGCACCCGUCAUAGUCGCAGCAGGUAUCCGAAAAAUUUCACCAUGUUGAAAAUCCAGCGGCGACCAGAAAAAGGUACGACUCUUUGGCCGACUACUCACGACCAUACAGGCUUCAUGGGACAGGCCCUUAAGUUUACAGAUGACACUAAAAUAGGUGGUAUCGUGGACAGUGAAUAAGGUUAUCAGAAAUUAUAGUGGGACUUGAUCAGCUUGGCAAGUGGGAUGAGGAAUGGCUCAUGGAGUUUUAUCCAAAUAAAUGUAAGAUGUUGCGUUUUGGAAAGUCAAACCACAGCAGGACCUUAACACUGAAUGGUAGGGCCCUGGAAAGUGGUGUAUGUAGAACAGAUAGUUCCCUGAAAGUGGUGUCACAGGUAGAUAGGGUGUUCAAAAAGGCAUUUAGUGUGUUGGCAUUCAUCAGUCCAGCAAUUGAAUAUAGAAGUUAGGAUAUUAUGUUACAGUUGUAUUGGAUGUUGGUAAGGCUGCAUUUGGGGUAUUGUGUUCAAUUUUGGUUACUUUGCUAUAGGCAGGAUGUCAUUAAGCUGGAAAGAGUGCAGAGAUGAUUUACGAGGACGUUGCCAGAA